UGCAAGCGUUAAUCGGAAUUACUGGGCGUAAAGCGCACGCAGGCGGUUUGUUAAGUCAGAUGUGAAAUCCCCGGGCUCAACCUGGGAACUGCAUCUGAUACUGGCAAGCUUGAGUCUCGUAGAGGGGGGUAGAAUUCCAGGUGUAGCGGUGAAAUGCGUAGAGAUCUGGAGGAAUACCGGUGGCGAAGGCGGCCCCCUGGACGAAGACUGACGCUCAGGUGCGAAAGCGUGGGGAGCAAACAGGAUUAGAUACCCUGGUAGUCCACGCCGUAAACGAUGUCGACUUGGAGGUUGUGCCCUUGAGGCGUGGCUUCCGGAGCUAACGCGUUAAGUCGACCGCCUGGGGAGUACGGCCGCAAGGUUAAAACUCAAAUGAAUUGACGGGGGCCCGCACAAGCGGUGGAGCAUGUGGUUUAAUUCGAUGCAACGCGAAGAACC
rnacentral:rRNA from 1 species